rnacentral:misc_RNA from 1 species
AGAUAGUUUAUUUACAGAACUUGCAAAAGCAUAAUUAAUAUUGCUGGUAUAGCAUGGUAUAUGCUGGGAUUAUAGCAAAGCCAAAAUAAACAACGAGAGAGUUAUACCGCAGCAAGUGCGCGCUCUUGGAGAUUGAACACAGUUGUAGUUAUGACACAAUGGAGGAAUGCAAUAUUAUUCUUCUUUCUUACCGGAUUAUCCUCGUUUUCAAUUGCAAGGUAUAUACCAUCCGUCCAUGUAAAUGUAAGAAGUGAGAUACCCACGGCCAGAAUUAUCGUCACAGUUUUGAGAAAGCGCGCCAAAUACUGGGACCCUUGGCAGGUUAACAAUCGUAUCUGUCCGCCAUCCCUGUGCUAUAUGAGAGAGAACAAGCGAGUGAAACCCAGAGGAACAGGUAGCAGUGUAUUCUACAAUGGUGACAUUGUUCUGGACAAAAAGGCCGCGGACAUGAUGUACGGAACAACCUCCAGACGCCGAAAACGGGCAACUACCCGGAUGAAAGAACGACUGUGGAAAAACGGUGUUGUGUAUUACCAGUUUGACCCGUCACUCUCCAGGUUAGCUAGGAAGGCGGUCAAACAGGCCAUGGAACACAUCUCUAACAAAACGUGUAUAGUGUUUAAAAAGAAACGGAAGAAAAAUCCGGACUACGUUCGAUUUAUAAGCGAACCAGGGUGCUGGUCGAAUGUGGGGCGAGUUGGAGGAUUACAGAAUUUGAGUUUAGGAAACGGAUGUGAAAGGAUGGGAACUGCUGUGCACGAGAUUGGGCAUGCGCUGGGAUUCUGGCACGAACAGGCCCGCUAUGAUAGAGAUAAAUACGUGGAAGUGACCUUAGACAACGUAUCCCCUCGCUACGUGGACGACUUCGCCAAAAUUAACAAGUCCAUAGCCGACACACGGGGUUUCGCCUAUGACUAUUCCAGCAUUAUGCAUUACAGCGAGAGAACAUUCACUAACAAUGGCCUCAAAACCAUAAAGGCAUGGUUAUCGGGAUAGGAAAAGAGUUAGCUCUCAGAAUCGGACAAAGAGAUGCUCUAAGCAAUAUCGAUAUUGCGCAGCUGCGGGACAUGUAUUUCUGCAACAGGAAGGAAGACAACCAUCAGACCAGUAAGUGAAAGAACCGGUACUUGUUAGAUUGUUGUAAACAUUUCCACGUAAAGUUACAAACACCUGAACACGACUCGAAAACCUUACUUCUUUCUUUAGACUACUUGACUAUUUGCAGUUUGCCCAAAAGACUGGAUAAAAUUCAAGCGAAGCUGUUAUCAGUUUGUAAGGAACCCUAAGCUACAGUAUGCAGCAGCACAUAAACACUGCAAUGAAACCUUCAGCAGACUAGUCCAUAUCAAUAACGCAAACGAGAACAGAUUUCUCAACAAGUACCUUAAAACCAACUUCAAUACCUCAAAAACAUGGCGGACAGGUGCGCGUCAGGUAAACGAUACAUUUGUGUGGGACAAUGGAGAAGAUCGGAAGUCAGUUCCGAUGACGUUUACUGCGUGGGAUAAAGGGCCUCCCGAAGGAUUUUCUACGAUGGUUCUUGGACGCGAUAAAACCACGGAUGACUUUUCAUGGGAAGGGGCAUGGAGCGGAUCAGCGUCACAAUUGCCAAACUAUACGUUCCCAUUUAUAUGUGAGAGAAAAGCAAGGCGGAAGUGUCUACCUCUAGAGUUCAAGGACGGGAGGGAUUAUCGCGGCAAUCUCGCUCAUACUGUGUCAGGGAUCACGUGUCAGAACUGGGUAUCUAAGUACCCGCACCGUCACAAUCUCCUUGCUGCGAUCACGUCCGAAGUGAACCCAGACGGACUAGCCGAUCACAACUUUUGCAGAAAUCCUUUCAGAGAGCGACGGAAAAGACCUUGGUGUUAUACCACGAAGAAGAAAGUAGAAUGGGAGUAUUGUGACGUCACUGCCUGUAAAGGCUCCUUAAAUACUACUCUGGACGAGAAAGAAAAAGAAGAAAAGGAGGCUAAAAAACUUGUCUCAAAUCAAAAUAAUACAAACUAUGUUGAAACUCUCGAAGAAUACUCAAAUAGUAUAUCAGAAAUAGUUAGUGGACAAGCCUAGUUUUUUAAUUUCAAUUUUCAUGUACAUGUAUUACAAGGGUUUUCUCAAAAUAGCGGAGUCAGAACACAUAACUAGAACUAUGUUCACUGCAUUUUCAUUAGACUUCAAUUUUUGUUUUCAAAUGGUCAUUUGGUAAACAAUUAAGAAAAAUUGAAAUCUGUACUUUAUUUAUUGUGAAAAUGAAUAAUUAGUGACAACAAGUUUUGCAAGGAAGGGCAAAAUUGUGCGACGUCGAAAUUUUCCGUCUAGCAUUUUGACGUCCAUUUCUAUCGGUCUGAGUUUUUUUCCCACUUAUUGUCAUCAUACUCGUCCGAAUAUUUUCAAUGUUAUUAAACUGCUAAUUCACAAAAUGCAUUUCUAAUU